AGCAGCCGCGGUAAUUCCAGCUCCAAUAGCGUAUAUUAAAGUUGUUGCAGUUAAAAAGCUUGUAGUUGAAUUUCGGGAUCAAUGUUUCGGUCAUGCCCUUGGUAUGUACUGAUAUUAUUGGUUUCUCACCUUCUAAAGAACCGUAAUGCCAUUAAUUUGGUGUCACGGGGAAUUAGGACUGUUACCUUGAAAAAAUUAGAGUGUUUAAAGCAGGCUCACGCUUGAAUACAUUAGCAUGGAAUAAUGAAAUAGGACAUCCGAUUCUAUUUUGUUGGUUUCUAGGAUCGAUGUAAUGAUUAAUAGGGAUAGUUGGGGGCAUUAGUAUUCAAUUGUCAGAGGUGAAAUUCUUGGAUUUAUUGAAGACUAACUACUGCGAAAGCAUUUGCCAAGGAUGUUUUCAUUAAUCAAGAACGAAAGUUAGGGGAUCGAAGACGAUCAGAUACCGUCGUAGUCUUAACCAUAAACUAUGCCGACUAGGGAUCGGAUGAUGUUAAUUUUUUAAUGACUCA
rnacentral:rRNA from 1 species